rnacentral:rRNA from 1 species
CAAUAGCGUAUAUUAAAGUUGUUGCAGUUAAAAAGCUCGUAGUUGGACCUUGGACCUGGACAGGCGGUCCGCCUCACGGCGAGUACUGUCUUGCUGGGUCUUUCCUCUUGGUGAUCUGUUGUUUCGGCAGCAGGGAACCAGGACCUUUACUUUGAAAAAAUUAGAGUGUUCAAAGCAGGCUCGACGCCGGAAUAUAUUAGCAUGGAAUAAUAAAAUAGGACGUGCGGUUCUACUUUGUUGGUUUUUGGAAUCGCCGUAAUGAUUAAUAGGGACAGUCGGGGGCAUUAGUACUCACAUGCUAGAGGUGAAAUUCUUGGAUUUUGUGAAGACUAACUUCUGCGAAAGCAUUUGCCAAGGAUGUUUUCAUUAA